UAAAUACCUUCCAAAAUCUAA
rnacentral:piRNA from 1 species